GACGUAGGGUGCGAGCGUUGUCCGGAGUUACUGGGCGUAAAGGGUGCGUAGGUGGCUUGGUAAGUUCGAUGUGAAAUCUCCGGGCUUAACCCGGAAAUGGCAUUGAAUACUAUUGAGCUGGAGGUUUGGAGGGGGGACUGGAAUUCUCGGUGUAGCAGUGAAAUGCGUAGAUAUCGAGAGGAACACCAGUGGCGAAGGCGAGUCCCUGGACAACACCUGACGCUGAGGCACGAAAGCUAGGGGAGCAAACAGG
rnacentral:rRNA from 1 species